rnacentral:lncRNA from 10 species
ACUGACCCCAGUUCUGGCCCCCGCUAGAGCAAGACUUCAGCGUUCCAUGUCUGCUGUGCUGUGGAACCCAGAGUGCUCUUGCCUGGAUGGCUGAGAAUCCCUUGGACCCUGGAAGCACCUACUCCAUGAUGGCCCGCAGGAGGACCAAACUGGAGACAGUCCUGGCUCUGAGGAAACAGGAAGGAAGGAGGGUGAAAGGAACGUCCACCUGCACACAAAGGAAAGAUGAAAAAGAGUCACCUACCAUGGGACCUGGCAAAGUACUUCAGAACUUUUAUUCCUUCCAGAAGCAGUGUAUCACAAUAGAUUGAAUCAAGAAGUGACAUUAAGGCCAGCGCGGUGGCUCACGCCUGUAAUCCCACCACUUUGGGAGGCCGAGGCGGGCGGAUCACGAGAUCAGGAGAUCAAGACCAUCCUGGCUAACAUGGUGAAACCCCAUGUCUACUAAAAAUACAAAAAAUUAGCCGGGCAUGGUGGCGGGCGCCUGUAGUCCCAGCUACUCGGGAGGCUGAGGCAGGAGAAUGGCGUGAACCUGGGAGGUGAAGCCUGCAGUGAGCCAAGAUCAUGCCACCGUACUCCCGUACUCCAGCCU